CAUGCCCCCAGCCCUUCUCCUUGGCCUCCUUUGGCCGAGUUGACAAUGUCCAUUCUCAAUGCCUUCCCACCCAGCGCUGAGCCCCACUGGGUGAAGGCAAUGCCUGUCAUGUUCACCACAAUAUCCCCUCCCCCAUCACCACACCUGGUCCACAGUGAUGCUCAAAAAAGAUCUGUUGGUAGGCAAUGGGAAAGUGCAUUCAUGUCAUCCUGCAGGCGGAAUUCUCCACGAGUUUUGAGCAGCCUCGGUUUUCCCACCCCCUCCAAAUCAUGGAAGAAACAGGGUAAGAGCAAAGACAAGGUGGCUGUGGCCUAUGUCUACCCUCUCGGGGCGUCCCUUGUCUUCUCUCCUCCUUGGGCAGGGAGACCAUCGGAGUGCAACCUGGCUGGGGCGGGGAGGAGGUGCAGGGCCUGGCCAGAGCGGGCCUGGCCACGGGCAAGGGACAGCGACCUCCUGGGCCAGGACAGGUGAGCGCGGCGCAGGCCCGGGCCCGGCGUGUCCGCGCUGCGCGGGAGAGGCCAGCAGAGGGCGCCAGAGAGCCAGGAGCGGCCCGCGGAGGAGCCCGCGCCCGCCCCGAUGCCCAGCUCCGCGCCUCGCGGACCCAGCAAGCUCGCGCUCAGACGCCCCAGCUCCGCCGAGAGGACGCUCGCCCCGGGUGCUUCUUUUUCCCCAAGUGCAGGCAGAGCCCCUGGAGCCAUGGCCAGCCCUUCCGGCAGCUCCGAAGCCACUGGCAAGCCCCGAGGCAGGGAUGGCCGGCCCAGGAGGGAGGAGGACGACGUCCCUCCUGAAGAGAAGAGGCUGCGGCUGUUGCUGGAGGGGGGAAGAGCACAGCCCGAGGACUGCGAGGACGGGGAGGACGCGCUGCGGCCGGGCAAGGAGGACACCGGCACCCAGACAGGUGGCGACGGCAGAGGAGCGGAAUUCUCCACGAGUUUUGAGCAGCCUCGGGUUUCCCACCACCUCCAAAUCAUGGAAGACACA
rnacentral:lncRNA from 1 species